CUUACCCUGCUGUGUUUGUGAUGCGUUUAUACCGUUUUGUACCAACACCAACACAAAUGGUUUGAUCUCACACCAGGUGACGUGAUAGACGAAAGUCAAGACCGAUCUUGGAGGAAGAACCAACUCCUGCUUUUGCAGGUUCAAAACCAUUUCGCACACGGCAUGGCGGGGAUUUC
rnacentral:other from 1 species